rnacentral:rRNA from 1 species
UACGGGGGGAGCAAGCGUUGUUCGGAAUUACUGGGCGUAAAGCGCACGUAGGCGGAUUGUUAAGUCGGGGGUGAAAUCCUGGAGCUCAACUCCAGAACUGCCUUCGAUACUGGCGAUCUCGAGUUCGGGAGAGGUGAGUGGAACUGCGAGUGUAGAGGUGAAAUUCGUAGAUAUUCGCAAGAACACCAGUGGCGAAGGCGGCUCACUGGCCCGAUACUGACGCUGAGGUGCGAAAGCGUGGGGAGCAAACAGG